rfam:Selenihalanaerobacter shriftii strain ATCC BAA-73 genome assembly, contig: EI55DRAFT_NODE_2_len_599_cov_63_747913.53
CCUCUACGGAGGCGAACUGACCAAUCCUACACUGCCAAGAAAAGCUUCUAACCAGGUGAUAGGUGUCCGUACCGCAAACCGACACAGGUAGAUGAGAAGAGAAUUCUAAGGCGCGCGAGAGAAUCCUUGUUAAGGAACUCGGCAAAAUAGCCCCGUAACUUCGGGAGAAGGGGUGCCUAAAGUAGGUGAAGGUGUUUACCACUGGAGCCCAAAUAGGUUGCAGUUAUCAGGUCCAAGCGACUGUUUACCAAAAACACAGGUCUCUGCUAAGACGUAAGUCGAUGUAUAGGGGCUGACGCCUGCCCGGUGCUGGAAGGUCAAGGGGAAGAGUUAAUUCUUUAGAAUGAAGCUUGGAACUUAAGCCCCAGUAAACGGCGGCCGUAACUAUAACGGUCCUAAGGUAGCGAAAUUCCUUGUCGGGUAAGUUCCGACCUGCACGAAUGGCGAAACGACUUGGACGCUGUCUCAACAAGGAUCUCGGUGAAAUUGUAGUGCCUGUGAAGAUGCAGGCUACCCGCGACAGGACGGAAAGACCCCGUGGAGCUUUACUGUAGCCUGAUAUUGAGUUUUGGUACAAUAUGUACAGGAUAAGUGGGAGGCUUUGAAAUCGGAACGCUAGUUUCGGUGGAGCCACACCUGGGAUACCACUUUUAUUGUGCCG